UUCGGCUUUGGAGGGUGGAGGGGGGCGUCGCACGUGCUCUGUUGUGUCCUAGGACAGCCGGUCGCCGGUCCCUGGCCCGCAGGGUGAACGCGGAGCUGUCCUGACCGCCGCUUCCACUGCCACCGACCAUACCUGGGGUGUCGGGACCCGCGGGGGGCAAGCACACAAGACAGGCCAGGGUCCCGCGACCCCAGAGACCGAAGGCCUUCCCCACGGGUCCCGGGACCCCAGAGAUCUGAAACCCCCGCCCAAUGGAUCAUGGCCUGAGACACCCCGCCGUGGAUCCUGGGACCCCCCGAGACCUGAGACCCUCUUCCUCUUCCCCUCCCUCUCCUCCGUGGAUCCUGGGAGCUGGGAGACCGCAAGCCCCGCCGCGGGGCCCGGGACUUCCCGGACCGCACCUCGCACAGCAGCUGGGGCUGGGGCGGGAGGAGGCAGAGGAAACUUGGUCAGAAGACAGACACCAGAAGUGGGACAAGGGAGUUGUAGGGGGGCACUGCAGCAGUCAGGAAAGCCUUGGCGCUCCCGACUGGGUUAGCUCGGGUUGCUGGGGCUGGGUGAGCAUGGGAUGAGACUUUCACCCCCAUGGAGUGUGCUGUAUUACUCUUUAUCUCCAGGGUUUCCACAGAAAACAAGAGCGUCCAGCCUGUGGCGUUUGAAUGGAGACACGCAGCGAUUAUUUCUGAGUGGUUAUUUUGGAGAUCCAGGUGAGUUUACUGCAAGAUUUGGGUGUGUGCUGGGUGAAAACCAGCUGACUCCACGUCUGCCCGAAAUGCACAUUUUAUGGCUUCUGGGUUUGUUUGGAUUAACGCUAAAGACACUGUGUUGUAUGGACGUAAUUAAAAGGAGUCAGAUGCCGAGGUGGUUGGGACCAAUUGAUGCAUCUUAGAUGGCCACUUGCUAGCUUUUAAGACCCCGGAGGUGUUUCACCAUUUAGAUACGUGAAACAGCAGCCUAGAAACCUAGCCAGCAGGAGAAAAGUCCUGGCAAUCUGCUCCCGUAAAGACAACAGCCUGGGAAGCCCUGUAGGGUGGUUCUGCCCCGCCACAUGGGGCAGCUGUGCGUCAGAAUGGACCAAUGGCGCCUGACAGCGGCGACAUAACUGGGCUGUCAGGCAUGUGGUCCCUCCAGAAAGUUGGGAGAAGAUGGAACUGUGGUCCUGAACAGUUUACCACAGUUAGUUACCAUUUUGGAAAACCACAUCGCACACUGCAGCAUCGUGGGAAGACAACACGGGGGAUGUGGAGCUGGCCGCGCCCCCACUGGUCUGGUUUAGAGCCAUUACAUUUGCGGCGCUUCUGCACGUGGCUGCGCGCACCUGCCUGGUUCACGCUGUCUUCGUAACGCGGACGUUCUGAUAAAUCUUUAACGCGGUGUCGGGCUUAUCUUACUGUGGACUUGGCCAUGCCUGUGCCUCCUUGUACUCAUAUUUCUGGAUGUACUUGUUGACGCCUUGGACUUAACAGUCCCUCGCCCGACCCUCAUCUUGUGUGGUUCACCUUCCGGGAGGGUCUGGCCCGCCAGUGUUCGCUGAAAGCCAGGAAUGUGGGCUUCGUGGUAGUGGGCCAGUCAUCUGAAUGAACCCCGGGGCAGGGAGGCCCCACCACCAGCUUCCUCUCCCGGUGCUGCUGGGACGCGCCUGAUGCAGCCGCCUUGAGAGGACAGAAACUUAGUGUCUCACGGUUCUGGAGGCUAAGAGCCCACGUCGGGGUCCCAGCUGGGUCCACUCCUGUGGGCCUCUCGGUUCUGGUGACGGUGGCCAGCGUCCGAGUUCCUGUGCUUGUAGACGAACCUCACGUGCCGUCUGUCUUCCCUGGUGUGUGUGUCUGUGCUGCUCUUUAUGUAACUCAGGCGGGAUCAGGUGUAGGAUCUGCCCUACACUGGUACGGCCCUAACUGGAAGUAAUCGGCUUGGCCCAAGGCCAACUGGAGGAGCCCUGGUGGCACAGGGGUUAAGCGCUUGGCUGCUCACUGAAAGGCCACUGGUUUGAACCCAACUGCCGCUUUGUGGGAAAAAGAUGCGACAGUCUGCUUCCGUAAAGAUGACAGCUUGGAAGCCCUGAUGGGGCAGAUCUUCACUGUCCUACAGGGUUGCUGUGAGUUGGAACGGGUUUCAGGCUGACUGAUAGAAUCCCAUGAACUACUCUGUGACAGGAACUAGACGAGCGUUUGGCAAACCACUGGAAACCGUGGCCUAGCCAGGUUGAUACCGCGUUAGCCCUCACAGCCACCACGGGGUUUCAGAAGCUCAGGGCACCUCAGGUCCAGAGAUCAGCACCUUGCUCAUCCUCAGCCCUCACAGGCAGAAGUGUGUGAGCCCCACUGCUGGAGAGCUAGUGCUCCAUUUCAAGUCCCAGUCCACCACUUCCUGCUGUGUGACCUUGGGCAGGUCAUUUCCUGUUGGUCCUUGUGAGGACUAAGUAGGUCCCCGUCACAGGCUCAGGGCAGCCCUGGGGCCCAGGAAGUGCUUUAGACAUUAGCCGUGUCACCAUUAUCGUCAUUGAUGCGUUUCCUCUGAUUUUCAGAGAAUGUUCCCGGUGUUUUGAGCUGUGAGAUUCUGUAGGCUGCUGCAGCGGGGGAGAGUUCUGGGGUCCUAACAGGUGCUGUCUGCAGCAGGCAGGUGUGUCUGUGUGAUAGCAUGUGAGGGAGCAGUGCACGUUGGGGCAGAGGUGGGAGUAACGGCUGCCUCCAGCCCCGUGACGACUUGUCCCGAAGGGGAAGGUGUGUUGCCUAUGUUACUACAUCGUGUGAAGGUGUGGUUUAUGCUGGGAAAAAAACUGUAUGUUGAUGUUCCUGGAAUAAAGAGUUUUGAUCCUCGGUUCCUCAUUUUUCCUGCGUGCGUCACGUGAGCUGCUUCCUUGGCGUGACUGCGGGCCAGUCAGUGCCGUGUCUGUCUGUCCUCGGUUCACAUGUUCUCCAGGACCUACGUGGUUUCCUGUCCGCCAAGUGCAUCAGGGAGCUGGUUCGGUUGGGUCUGAUCCCAGCCCCCUCUAAGCUGCAGAAUCUGUAGCUUGGAAACUGAAUACAGUUCAUGUUGACGGAGCCGCUUGUAAUUCAAGAGGGCUUCCUCUGUGCACUCUUGACUCCCGUCAACCCAAAGAGGGUGGUGAGUGGCCCCGGGAGUCCACUCGGCUUGGCCUGGGAUUCCUUAGGCCCGGAAGAGUCGGUCGAGAGUAGGGAAGUGAGGACAGGGUGAGCGGGAUUCUCCUAAGGCUGGGGGCUGAGAGAGCUCCCCCUCCUCAGUUAGCCUGCUCCUCGUCACUCUGGCUUCAGUCUGCGGGAUCGCAGGCCACGCGUGGAUUCCUAACAGGUAACCCCUUCCCCUUUCCCCGUGACAGCACCCCAAGACAGACGUCUUCAUCUUUAGUUCCCCUACACAUCCA